rnacentral:rRNA from 1 species
GACGAACGCUGGCGGCGUGCUUAAUACAUGCAAGUCAACUUGACUUUAGAUAGCAAUAUCGAAAAGUAGGGUGGCGCACGGGUGCGUAACGCGUAGGUAAUCUGCCCUGAGGUCUGACAUAACCCGUCGAAAGGCGGGCUAACAUCAGAUGAUAUAUAAUCACGACAUCGUGGAAAUAUCAAAUCUUCGGAGCCUUGGGAUGAGCCUGCGUCUGAUUAGGUAGUUGGCGGAGUAAUAGCCCACCAAGCCUACGAUCAGUAGCUGGUCUGAGAGGAUGAUCAGCCACACUGGAACUGAGACACGGUCCAGACUCCUACGGGAGGCAGCAGUAAGGAAUAUUGCUCAAUGGGGGAAACCCUGAAGCAGCAACGCCGCGUGAAGGAUGAAAUACUUUUGUAUGUAAACUUCUGUAAGAUGGGAAAAAUAUUCUCCUCGGAGAAUUGAUUGUACCAUCAGAGUAAGCCCCGGCUAACUACGUGCCAGCAG